rnacentral:lncRNA from 1 species
UCCUUGUCGCCUCUCGGUUCUGCGAUUUAAGGUUCUUUGUUAAGUUGUUUCCCUGUUUUUGCGAUGGUGUUUCUAUCACCAAUCUGAUUAGCGUCGUUCACAGUAUUGUCUCUGUCUCUCGUUAGGCUUGCAGCAGAGGCAAAACAUUCAAGGGGUUUUGCCAGGGUUAUUGGAAAUUAUAGCAAGAUAGCCACGGGGUCUUGCUAGGGAUUUGGGGUUGUCCCCGUUGUGAGAGUUG